rnacentral:rRNA from 1 species
CGUUGAUCCUGCGGGAGGUCGCUGCUAUUAGAAUCCGAUUUAACUAGGCUAGUUCAGGGGCUCUUCGGAGCACCAGCAGACAGUUCCGUAACACGUCGAUAAUCUGCCCUUAGGUUCAGGAUAACUUUGGGAAACUGAAGAUAAUACUGAAUUGGAGAAAAAUACUGUAAUGUCUUUUCUUUUAAAGGAAACGCCUAAGGAUGAGCCGGCGCCCGAUUAGGUUGUUGGUGGGGUAAUGGCCCACCAAGCCGAAGAUCGGUAGGGGCCUUGAGAGAGGUAGCCUCGAGGAGGACACUGAGAUAAGGGUCCUGACUCUACGGAGUAUAGCAAGUGCGAAAACUUUACAAUGCACGAAAGUGUGAUAAGGGGAUUCUGAGUGCCUAUGUAUUGCAUAGGCUUUUGCCAAGUGUAAAAAGCUUGGAGAAUAAGUGGUGGGCAAGACUGGUGCCAGCAGCCGCGGUAACACCAGCGCCACAAGUGGGGACCGCAUUUAUUGGGCCUAAAGCGUUCGUAGCCGGUUUACUAAAUCUUUUGUGAAAUUGUUAGGCUUAACCUAACAGCUUGCAGAGGACACUAGUAAACUUGAGACCAGGAGGAGUUAGAGGAAUUCAAGGGGUAGCGGUAAAAUGCAAUAAUCCCUUGAGGACCACCAGUGGCGAAGGCGUCUAACUAGAAUGGGUCUGACGGUGAGGAACGAAAGCCAGGGGAGCGAACCGGAUUAGAUACCCGAGUAGUCCUGGCCGUAAACGCUGCGAGCUAGGUGUUGCAUAUUCUACGAGAAUAUGCAGUGUCGUAAUGAAGAUGUUAAGCUCGCCGCCUGGGUAGUACGGUCGCAAGACUGAAACUUAAAGGAAUUGGCGGGGGAGCACAACAAGGGGUGCGGCGUGCGGUUUAAUCCAACUCAACACGGAGAAUCUCACCAGAGGCGACGGCAGGAUGAAAGUCAGGCUGAAGACCUUACUUAACAAGCCGAGAGGUGGUGCAUGGCCGUCGUCAGCUCGUGCCGUGAGGUGUCCUGUUAAGUCAGGCAACGAGCGAGACCUGCACUUACAAUUGCCAACAGCUCUUUUUAGAGGACUGGGCACAAUGUAAGGACUGCCUUGGUAACAAGGAGGAAGGUGCAGGCAACGGUAGGUCUGUAUGCCCCGAAUCCUCUGGGCUACACGCGCGCAACAAUGGUAGGGACAAUGGGAUGCAACUCCGAAAGGAGAAGCUAAACCUCUAAACCCUAUCUCAGUUCAGAUUGAGGGUUGUAACUCACCCUCAUGACGUUGGGAUCCCUAGUAACCAGACUUUAGCAUAGUCCGGUGAAUAUGUCUCUGCUCCUUGCACACACCGCCCGUCAAACCAACCGAGCAGGGUUUAGAUGAAACUUAGUUUUUUAAUUAAGUUGAAUCUAGACUCAGUGAGGUGGGUUAAGUCGUCACAAGGUA